UACAUUAGAUACCCGUGUAGUCCCAGCCGUAAACUAUGCUCGCUAGGUGUCAGGCAUGGCGCGACCGUGUCUGGUGCCGCAGGGAAGCCGUGAAGCGAGCCACCUGGGAAGUACGGCCGCAAGGCCGAAACUUAAAGGAAUUGGCGGGGGAGCACAACAACGGGUGGAGCCUGCGGUUUAAUUGGACUCAACGCCGGACAACUCACCGGGGACGACAGCAAUAUGUAGGCCAGGCUGAAGACCUUGCCUGAAUCGCUG
rnacentral:rRNA from 1 species